rnacentral:rRNA from 1 species
UGGGGAAUAUUGGACAAUGGGCGAAAGCCUGAUCCAGCCAUGCCGCGUGUGUGAAGAAGGCCUUCGGGUUGUAAAGCACUUUCAGCGAGGAAGAAGGCUUGCGGGCUAAUACCCCGUAAGAAGGACAUCACUCGCAGAAGAAGCACCGGCUAACUCCGUGCCAGCAGCCGCGGUAAUACGGAGGGUGCAAGCGUUAAUCGGAAUUACUGGGCGUAAAGCGCGCGUAGGCGGCGUGAUAAGCCGGUUGUGAAAGCCCCGGGCUCAACCUGGGAACUGCAUCCGGAACUGUCAGGCUAGAGUGCAGGAGAGGAAGGUAGAAUUCCCGGUGUAGCGGUGAAAUGCGUAGAGAUCGGGAGGAAUACCAGUGGCGAAGGCGGCCUUCUGGACUGACACUGACGCUGAGGUGCGAAAGCGUGGGUAGCAAACAGGAUUAGAUACCCCCGUAGUCC